CAAAUCCCGGCAUGCAAAGCAGCUAGCCGCUCCUGGCCAGGCGUCUGGAGCCACUGACGGAUCAGUAUCUCUAUUUGAAUUAUUCCAGCAGACUCCUCCGGAGAUGUCAAACCCUCCCUCAGAAGGUCAAAAGAAUCAGGAGAAAGAGAGAGCGCGAGCAGGGGAGGGUCAGAGAGAG